AUGAGAAGUCUGACGGAGCACGCCGCGUGAGUGAUGAAGGUUUUCGGAUCGUAAAGCUCUGUUGUUAGGGAAGAACAAGUGCGAGAGUAACUGCUCGCACCUUGACGGUACCUAACCAGAAAGCCACGGCUAACUACGUGCCAGCAGCCGCGGUAAUACGUAGGUGGCAAGCGUUGUCCGGAAUUAUUGGGCGUAAAGGGCUCGCAGGCGGUUUCUUAAGUCUGAUGUGAAAGCCCCCGGCUCAACCGGGGAGGGUCAUUGGAAACUGGGAAACUUGAGUGCAGAAGAGGAGAGUGGAAUUCCACGUGUAGCGGUGAAAUGCGUAGAGAUGUGGAGGAACACCAGUGGCGAAGGCGACUCUCUGGUCUGUAACUGACGCUGAGGAGCGAAAGCGUGGGGAGCGAACAGGAUUAGAUACCCUGGUAGUCCACGCCGUAAACGAUGAGUGCUAAGUGUUAGGGGGUUUCCGCCCCUUAGUGCUGCAGCUAACGCAUUAAGCACUCCGCCUGGGGAGUACGGUCGCAAGACUGAAACUCAAAGGAAUUGACGGGGGCCCGCACAAGCGGUGGAGCAUGUGGUUUAAUUCGAAGCAACGCGAAGAACCUUACCAGGUCUUGACAUCCUCUGACAACCCUAGAGAUAGGGCUUUCCCUUCGGGGACAGAGUGACAGGUGGUGCAUGGUUGUCGUCAGCUCGUGUCGUGAGAUGUUGGGUUAAGUCCCGCAACGAGCGCAACCCUUGAUCUUAGUUGCAGCAUUCAGUUGGGCACUUUAAGGUGACUGCCGGUGACAACCGAGAGGUGGGAUGACGUCAAUCAUCAUGCCCUUAUGACUGGCU
rnacentral:rRNA from 1 species